AGAUAUGUUCAUAGAGCAGUGAACAGGAUAAUCAAAAGAAAUGCUCAAUAAGA
rnacentral:sRNA from 12 species